UACCACGCGAGUGGAUGCCAAUCCCCAAAACCUCUCUCAGUUCGGACUGGAGUCUGCAACCCGACUCCACGAAGCUGGAUUCGCUAGUAAUCGCGCAUCAGCCACGGCGCGGUGAAUACGUUCCCGGGCCUUGUACACACCGCCCGUCAAGCCAUGGGAGCCGGGGGUACCUGAAGUGCGUAACCGCGAGGAGCGCCCUAGGGUAAAACUGGUGACUGGGGCUAAGUCGUAACAAGGUACC
rnacentral:rRNA from 1 species